UUUUUUUCAAUGUUUUAUUCAGUUACAUUUAAGCGGCAGAUAAUGAUUUGAAGAAGAAUAAGACAAAAGGAUCAGUCAUGCCAGUCAGGGUGCUAACGUACGGGCACACCCGUAUACGCUUACACAGGCAUGUCCGUCCGUCUCUGCAGCUUCCCCCCGUCGCCCUCGUGCAUUGACUACAGACCUGCUCAACCACACCGGAUCUGCAUCACCGCGUCACCGGGUGACAUCAUCACAGGCCUGGACGAGCCACAUCACCGUAGCCCGCCCACCUCCCCCACAUCACCGUAGAGGAGGCCCAAUACAGUUUCAGCCGCAGUGCAUGCUGGGAGGCGUGACGCAAUUCAGCUGGACUGCAGUUAGACCCCGCCCUCGCUACCAUAGACGUAUUGAUAAACGUAGAUUGACGCGUCAUUCAGGGAUCCGGAGGGAACCAGCGGCGCCGUCAUGUGGCAGGAGUCAAGCUAAGCUAGCUCUACGUGCUAAAGCAGCGAUAGUCGACGGAGAACCGGAGAACCGGAACCAUGCCGGUUGUUUGUGUUGACUUCGGAUACAACCGGGACUCUUUAGGUAGCGGAUCAUGUGGAAUGAGCUUUCACGAUACCAGGGGAAUGACAUCUUUGACCCUGUCUGGAGAACUGGAAGAGACCUUAAGCAGGAUGAACAAGAAAGAAAUGCCAGCAAAGAAAACGUUAUGGAUUCCAACCCAGAAAAUGAAGGUCUGAGAGAACACCCCUCAACGGAAUGAGCAAUCUAAUCCAGACCAGGUCUGAGAGCUUCAGACUCUUUGAAACCUCAGUGGAGAGAGACUUCACCAUAGCCCAUCUUCACCAUCAGGCCAGCAGGAGCUCUUCCCUGGGUGUGGUGUGUUCGAGUCAUCGUUCUGCCCUGCUGCCAUGAACCACACAUCUAAACCACAUCACAUGCAUCAGUUUCAUGCACUGUCCAAUCAUGUCCUCACUGUUGGAGUAUCAAAAUCCCUUUUGGUCUUCCUGGAAAUGAUCCCUCCGGAAAAGAAGGAAAGCGGAUCCGUCGACGCAAUCCUAACCUGUGUCCUGAGAUGUCCCACUCCACCUGGUUGGGAAAAAAUUGUGGAGGUCAAGCUCAAGAAAGCGUUUGUCAGCAAAUGUACGGCCAGAGCAGGUUCUGAGCAGUAGGCCACUGCUGUGAUCUACAGUAUGUGGACUGGUUACUCCUUCAUCCUUUAUUUAUUUUUUGUUUUUAAUUUUCGUGGACCAGGAGUUUUAAUACACUUCCAGCCAAGUGUGUUCUAGGAUUUGGAAGCAUGUAAGUUCUGUUGUUUCAAAGCCAAGUAAGAUUCCUCCUUGUACCUCAGCAGUGCUGUCAGUGUGUUCAUUGUUUAGAAUCUAGAAGUAUUCAUUAUCACCACGUCGGCCAGAUUGAGUAUGCCACAGUUCAUGUACUUAAUGCAAUUACAUAAAAAAAGUUUGAAAAAGUUAGAUCUCCGGGUAUAAUACGACACAAUUUUGUGAAUGUAUUUCUGGUUGUACUCAAAAUAGUUCAUUAAGAAGCCAGGUGGUUUUAACUCGUGUGCUAUCCUGGACAUGUUUACAUUAAAAGUGGGGUCAUCUGGACCCCACAAGACAGCGCGCUAAAGUUUUUUUUCCAAGGAUUUUUAAUCUUGUCUGGUGUCCGUGGCAGACAUAAGAUCCUGUCCACAUUUGUUAUGGGAGAGAUCACACAUCAAUGUAAUGGUAGGGUCAUCUUGACCCCAUAAGAGAGCACAAGGGUUAAAGUACUUUUAAAUUAUUUAAAAAAAAGAAUUUUGUUAAAACCGACUUUUCAACAAGGGGGUUAGUAAACAAUGUCAGAGCAUGUAUUUAAUUUAUUUUUGUAUCUCAUUUAUGUUUUAUAUUUCUGUAUUUUGUCUAAAAAAUGUAAAGAGUCUAAUGCUGUUAUCCCAAUACAAAUGUUGUACUGAUGGUGCUGACCAAAUCCCAAAUAAAAUGUAACAUUUACAUA